GACGAACGCUGGCGGCGUGCUUAACACAUGCAAGUCGAACGGAAAGGCCCUGCUUUUGUGGGGUGCUCGAGUGGCGAACGGGUGAGUAACACGUGAGUAACCUGCCCUUGACUUUGGGAUAACUUCAGGGAAAUGGGGCUAAUACCGGAUAGGAGCUCCUGCUGCAUGGUGGGGGUUGGAAAGUUUCGGCGGUUGGUGAUGGACUCGCGGCUUAUCAGCUUGUUGGUGGGGUAGUGGCUUACCAAGGGUUUGACGGGUAGCCGGCCUGAGAGGGUGACCGGCCACAUUGGGACUACGAGACGGCCCAGACUCCUACGGGAGGCAGCAGGGGGGAAUAUUGCACAAUGGGCGGAAGCCUGAUGCAGCAACGCCGCGAGCGGGAUGACGGCCUUCGGGUUGUAAACCGCUGUCGCCUGUGACGAAGCGGGAGUGACGGUAAUGGGUAAAGAAGCACCGGCUAACUACGUG
rnacentral:rRNA from 1 species